rnacentral:snoRNA from 1 species
GUGCCCCUGUUAAUCCCUCGGACCGCCUGACUGAGUGGCGGCUGAGUUUCAGAUGGGGCGCACAUCGCACGCCACAGAGAGAUUCGCUGACAACGCUAGCGCCUCCUUUCGGGGGUUUGCCCAUGAGUGUUAUCUGAUAGUAGCUCUCUGACAUCC